rnacentral:rRNA from 1 species
UUACGGGAGGCAGCAGUAGGGAAUAUUCCACAAUGGACGAAAGUCUGAUGGAGCGACGCCGCGUGAGGGAUGAAGGUCUUCGGAUUGUAAACCUCUUUCGACAGGGACUAAGUGCACUACGGUGAAUAAUCGUAGUGUUUGACGGUACCUAGGGAAGAAGCUACGGCUAACUCUGUGCCAGCAGCCGCGGUAAUACAGAGGUAGCGAGCGUUGUCCGGAUUUACUGGGCGUAAAGGGCUUGUAGGUUGCCUUUUAAGUCAGAUGUGAAAUCGUCCCGCCUAACGGGACAAUUGCAUUCGAUACUGAUUGGCUUGAGUGCAGAAAGGGAAACUGGAAUUUCCGGUGUAGCGGUGAAAUGCGUAGAUAUCGGAAAGAACACCAGUGGCGAAGGCGGGUUUCUGGUCUGCAACUGACACUGAGGAGCGAAAGCCAGGGGAGCAAACGGGAUUAGAUACCCCGGUAGUCCU